CAGUCACAUCACGUUGAAACACCGGUUACAUUACGAUCUCCGAAGUUAAGCCACAUCUAACCUGGUCAAUAUCUAGAUGGGUGACCGCUUGUGAAUUCCAGGUGUUGUAA